UACGAAGGGGGGCUAGCGUUGCUCGGAAUCACUGGGCGUAAAGGGUGCGUAGGCGGGUCUUUAAGUCAGGGGUGAAAGCCCGGGGCUCAACUCCGGAACUGCCUUUAAGACUGCAUCGCUUGAAUCCGGGAGAGGUGAGUGGAAUUCCGAGUGUAGAGGUGAAAUUCGUAGAUAUUCGGAAGAACACCAGUGGCGAAGGCGGCUCACUGGACCGGUAUUGACGCUGAGGUGCGAAAGCGUGGGGAGCAAACAGG
rnacentral:rRNA from 1 species